GGAAAAGUGGCAGAGUGGUUGAUCGCGACGGUCUCGAAAACCGUUUUACCAGUAAUGGUAACGGGGGUUCGAAUCCCCCCUUUUCCG
rnacentral:tRNA from 1 species